UUAUUUUUUUCUUUUUUUAAAACCCUUGUCGGGGCUGUGGUAGUGGUCGAGUUAAAAAAUGAGUUAAAAAUUAAAGGUAAACUACAUUCUGUGGAUCAGUUUUUAAACAUUAAGCUUAUGGAUAUUCAAGUUUUAGAAAGUAGUAAGCACCCGCACAUGUUCUCCGUAAAAAAUUGCUUUAUACGAGGUUCUGUUAUAAGAUACGUCCAAGUUCCUCCUGAUAAAGUGGAUACCGAUUUAUUGCAGGAUGCAACCCGGAAGGCUCCCAAGCAGCAGGCUCUUUCGUAGUUUUCAAAGAAAUAAUUGCCCUCCUUAUGAUUUUUUAAAAAAAAACUAACUUUUGGCUG